rnacentral:rRNA from 1 species
GAUGAACGCUGGCGGCGUGCCUAAUACAUGCAAGUCGAGCGAACGGACGAGAAGCUUGCUUCUCUGAUGUUAGCGGCGGACGGGUGAGUAACACGUGGAUAACCUACCUAUAAGACUGGGAUAACUUCGGGAAACCGUAGCUAAUACCGGAUAAUAUUUUGAACCGCAUGGUUCAAAAGUGAAAGACGGUCUUGCUGUCACUUAUAGAUGGAUCCGCGCUGCAUUAGCUAGUUGGUAAGGUAACGGCUUACCAAGGCAACGAUGCAUAGCCGACCUGAGAAGGUGAUCGGCCACACUGGAACUGAGACACGGUCCAGACUCCUACGGGAGGCAGCAGUAGGGAAUCUUCCGCAAUGGGCGAAAGCCUGACGGAGCAACGCCGCGUGAGUGAUGAAGGUCUUCGGAUCGUAAAACUCUGUUAUUAGGGAAGAACAUAUGUGUAAGUAACUGUGCACAUCUUGACGGUACCUAAUCAGAAAGCCACGGCUAACUACGUG